CCUAUGGGGCGCAGCAGGCGCGAAAACUUCACACUGUGCGAAGGCACGAUGAGGGAAUCCCAAGUGCCAACUCGUAAGAGUUGGCUGUUUCUCUGUCUAAAAAAUAGAGAGAUUAAGAGC
rnacentral:rRNA from 1 species